GUGGCUUGUAAGGCGGUGCUGGAGUUGUUGGUGGCUUAACUGGAGGUGUAGGAACUGGGGGCUUAUAUGGGGGAGUUGGUGCUUUAGUUGGUGGUGCUGGUGCUGGAGUUGGUGCUUUGGUUGGGGGUGCUGGAGCAGGUGUUGGGGGCUUAUAUGGGGGUGUAGGGGCCUUGACUGGAGGUGCCGGUGCGGGAGUAGGGGGUUUAUAUGGGGGAGUAGGAGCCUUGGUUGGUGGUGUUGGUGCUGGGGGCUUAUAUGGUGGAGUAGGAGCCUUGGUUGGUGGCGCAGGAGCUGGGGGCUUAUAUGGUGGAGUAGGAGCCUUGGUUGGUGGCGCAGGAGCUGGUGGUUUAUAUGGUGGAGUGGGGGCCUUGGUUGGUGGUUUAUAUGGUGGAGUGGGGGCCUUGGUUGGGGGUGCUGGAGUUGGGGCCUUGUACGGCGGUGCCGGAGUGGUGGGAGGCUUAACGGGUGGAGCAGGGAUAGGUGCCUUCACUGGAACAGGAGCAGCAUACUUAAUCUGAACAGUGAUAUGCAACAAAUUUAGCAAAGUUCCAUUUACAGACUAUGGUCUUAUGCACCACAAUGGCUAACAGCAUUCAGUAUGAAAAAAUACAAGAAAGACAUUAUCCAAUAAAAAUAAAAAUAAAACAAGAAUCAGAUUGUUUCAAAAGAACCAAGUUUUAAAUUGUUACAACCUAGACAAGACAAAACAGU
rnacentral:lncRNA from 1 species